rnacentral:tRNA from 1 species
GCCUGGCUGGCUCAGUUGGAAGAGUACGUGACUUUUUAUCUCAGGGUUGUGAGUUCGAGCCCCAUGUUGGGUG